rnacentral:rRNA from 1 species
UACGUAGGGGGCAAGCGUUGUCCGGAAUCAUUGGGCGUAAAGAGCGUGUAGGCGGCUCGGUAAGUCCGCUGUGAAAGUCCAGGGCUCAACCCUGGAAUGCCGGUGGAAACUGUCGAGCUAGAGUCCGGAAGAGGCGAGUGGAAUUCCUGGUGUAGCGGUGAAAUGCGCAGAUAUCAGGAGGAACACCAAUGGCGAAGGCAGCUCGCUGGGACGGUACUGACACUGAGGAGCGAAAGCGUGGGUAGCAAACAGG